GAGGUUUUGAUCCUGGCUCAGAAUGAAACGCUGGCGGCGUGCUUAACACAUGCAGGUCGCACGAGAACGCUUUAGCUUGCUAGAGCUAGUAAAGUGGCGCACGGGUGAGUAACGCGUGGGUAAUCUACCCCUGAAUCUGGGAUAACGUUGCGAAAGCGACGCUAAUACCGGAUGACAUCAAAAUAGCCUCGGUUAUAUUGAUCAAAGAUGGCCUCUACAUGUAAGCUAUUGUUUGGGGAUGAGCCCGCGUACCAUUAGCUAGUUGGUAGGGUAACGGCCUACCAAGGCAACGAUGGUUAGCUGGUCUGAGAGGAUGAUCAGCCACACUGGAACUGACACACGGUCCAGACUCCUACGGGAGGCAGCAGUGAGGAAUUUUGCGCAAUGGGGGAAACCCUGACGCAGCAACGCCGCGUGAGUGAUGAAGGCCUUCGGGUCGUAAAGCUCUGUCAAGUGGGAAGAACCUAUAUAUGACCAAUACUCAUAUGUACUGACGGUACCACUGAAGGAAGCACCGGCUAACUCCGUGCCAGCAGCCGCGGUAAUACGGGGGGUGCAAGCGUUAUUCGGAAUUAUUGGGCGUAAAGAGCGCGUAGGCGGCCAGUUAAGUCAGAUGUGAAAGCCCGGGGCUCAACCCCGGAAGUGCAUUUGAAACUAAUUGGCUUGAGUAUGGGAGAGGGAAGUGGAAUUCCAGGUGUAGAGGUGAAAUUCGUAGAUAUCUGGAGGAACACCAGUGGCGAAGGCGACUUCCUGGACCAAUACUGACGCUGAGGCGCGAAGGCGUGGGGAGCAAACAGGAUUAGAUACCCUGGUAGUCCACGCAGUAAACGGUGAUCACUAGGUGUAGCGGGUAUUGACCCCUGCUGUGCCGGAGUUAACGCAUUAAGG
rnacentral:rRNA from 1 species